GACGGUACAGCUCAAGUGUUAGAGUGCAUGCUUAGCAUGCAUGAGGUCCUGGGUUCGAUCCCCAGUGCCUCCU
rnacentral:tRNA from 1 species